GCUUAUACAGGCACGUAGUAUGGGCUGACUGUCAGGGUCCUGACACGGGCUCUCCUUGUCCUGAUCUGAUCUUGAUGCUACUCGGUCAAUCUAUGAUGUUUGUUUCCUGUGUUUACAUGGCAGAGUGGUUGCUGCACUCGCUUUUGGAUGUGGAUGCAAGUUGGGAACUCAUUCAGUGAUUUGAGGGUGCAGGUAGAGAUGAUGCUGCGGAUGGGAUGGGAAGAUGCGUGUGUGCUAGCUGCCAUUGCAGGGACUUUUUAUUUUUCGGAUAGUUCAGCGCCUUAUUACGAAUCUGAUAGUGCUAUCUGCCACACAUACACCAUGUUACGAAUCUAUUUACAUGCGACUCAGAGAAAGAAUUGCUUUGCAGGCUGCCAACAUCACGAAUUUCAUACUUAUGGAGUGGAGCCACCAAACUAUUUAUGAGGAAAUAUGUUGAAGCACCGAAUAUAUUCCAUUUGCAGUGGACAAACAUAACAACACAACACAUAAGCAGAGGAAAGACAUGGUUGCUCUUGCUUCAUCUAAAUAGGCCGUCUGGAAUGCCAUGAGACCAGGUUGUACUAUCAUUUUGAAUUUGUUUACUAACACCACAACUACCACAUCCUCGCUAAACGACAGAGGUUGCUAGCAACUGCACGUGGAAAGAUUGAAUGUGAUAUUCUGUCUACUAAUCAAUAGUGUAUUACUAAAACUACAUAUUGAUGACUUUUUAAACAACAUAUAGUAUUGUCCCCAGUUCUGCUUGAUUUGAUUUGUAUUUCCCAUCAGUUUUGUGUUUUGUCAGAGAAUGGUUUUUCUUUACCUACGGUAGUCCCUGUACUCAGGUAAAUCCUUUUGCAUCAUUUCACUAUUGGUUCUGUCGUAAUUGUAUUAGAUUGGGAUUGCAACAUGUGGGCUCCAACAAACAUAAUUUCAAAAUUGCACGUUAUUUGUAUGACAUAAAACUAAAUGAGAUAUCACUCAACUCACAUGAACUUUGGAUAACAUUGUAGUUAAACAUUGAUUACUUGCAAUGCAUUAGCAACCCCAAAAUGUUAGAACUGAAUCUUGAACGCUUGUAACAAAAUUUUACCAUCCUCAAGAAUUUAAAGAGAAAGAAAGGUUUGCACUUACAUUCC